AAAAAAGCUGAGGUUGCCUGCUCCUGAGCUUGUUGGAGAACAGCUUGAAGGCAGCUUUCCAGAUAAAGAUGAUGUCUACAUUUCUGGACCAUACUUUUGGCUGUAUCUGUUGGAGAGCUAUGGUAUCUAGACUGCAUUACACUCUCUGCUAUGAGUUUUGAGAGUGGUAAGUCCAUGGGUGCACCUUCAUUUGUCCAUCAAACUGAAAGAUCCAAAUGCAAGGAUGUUUUAUCUUUUUCUUUCCUGCAUUAUUGAAUUUGGCUGAUUCUCCUGCACACAUUUUUUCCUGGACAACGUAUUUGAGAAACACACACAUCCACAGAGUGCAAUGGUAUGUGGGAA